AAACCAUUAAGACAAAUACAAAUACAUGUGAUGCAAAGUUUCUGUCAACUCUGGGUUAUUAUGCUAGAUCUUGAUUAUCUCUUCCAUAAGAUUUUGCUUAUUAAUAAGAUUUUUUUUUUCCAAUCUC